AAAGUCGUAACAAGGUUUCCGUAGGUGAACCUGCGGAAGGAUCAUUACAAAUCCAAAACAAAAACACGUUAAAAUGUUCUCGGCCUUGGCAAGUUAGUAGAAAUGUGUAAAAGCAUUGAUAUUAAUGGUUACCACAUGCCAAUUAAUUUUGGCGUGUCAAGUAACACCAAGGUCCGACUUAAUGACUUUACUGUUAACUUAAUUAUUGCGUCGUUAAUAGCGACAAAACUAAAAACAACUUUUAACAAUGGAUCUCUAGGCUCUU
rnacentral:misc_RNA from 1 species